rnacentral:rRNA from 1 species
UACGGGGGGGGCAAGCGUUGUUCGGAAUUACUGGGCGUAAAGGGCUCGUAGGCGGCCAACUAAGUCGGAUGUGAAAUCCCCAGGCUCAACCUGGGAACUGCAUCCGAUACUGGAUGGCUUGAAUUCGGGAGAGGGAUGCAGAAUUCCAGGUGUAGCGGUGAAAUGCGUAGGUAUCUGGAGGAAUACCGGUGGCGAAGGCGGCAUCCUGAACCGACAUUGACGCUGAUGAGCGAAAGCUAGGGGAGCAAACGGG